CUGCAGGGGUAAUAGAUGUAUUAAGGACAGCUGAAAACAGUGGGUAGUGAGGUGUUCUGGGGCUGGAGAGAAGGGAUAUGUGGUGAGGAGGUAUGUGACAGUGGAGGCUGGAAAAGGAAGAUUUUGAGGAGCAGGUGCUGGUCUGAACUACUGAGCACAAAUUUGGAGCUCUGCCAGCUGAAGACAUGGAGCAAAAUCCUGUAGCUUCAGUUCCCUGGAAUAGCUUUACCCCUAUCUGCUUAAGAUCCUGUGCAUAUCAGGAGAAAAUGAUGAGGUGAUGAAAAGGGAAGAAGCUGAAGGGUUGAGGCUUACAGUUAGGCAUCCUUAAGCUUAGGACCCCUGCAUGUGUGAGGAAGUGCUGCUUGCUUUGCCUGCCAGUAGCAAGAGUUUUCUUAUAAUCCUUUGGGCUCCAGACACGUCAUACCAAGGGACUCUGCAGCGAUAUUCAUCUUCCCUUCCUGUGAAGGGUGUUCUGUAUAAUUGUGUAAUGUAUUAGCUUGACUCAUGUCAACCUCUCAAUUAAGAAACUUCCUAUCAUAGCUCUGGAUUUUAGCCCUGUUGAGUAAGAGCAUCUCCAUCAGCCAAGUAAUACCUAUUUAUAACAUGAUGGUUCGAUUUUCUUUUGGCCUGGAAUUUCUAUUUUGUCUUCUCCAAUUUAUACCCAGUCUUUGCUGUAUUGAACAUUAAUCUCAAUUCUGUGUUUAUCAUUCUGAAACUCACCUUUAAAUCCAUUGCUCCAGUGCCAUGGAGAGGGGUAGGAAGGUUAGCCCCAAUCAGGAGACCGUAAAUGAUGAAUUAUUACUAGUGUAUGUAAAUGUUAUGCUAUUUAGACAGCAAAUGAAACUAUUUGAACCACUUGUAAGGUGAAGCACUGGAGUCCUGUCUUUUUUUUCUUUAGCCCUGUAAUGACUUGUGCCUCUGUCAUGCCAAUAAAAUUAUUGCUGUUUGCUUUACUCUGCAGGGCCCACAAGCUGAAAAAGUAACACUGCAAACAUAGUUCUGACUCAGCCUGUGGCUUUGUGUCCCUUUUCAGCAGGUUGGUAGGUUUGUGUGCUUCUUGCUGAGCUUUGCUUUCAGCUUCCCCAAGAAAGAAAGGAACAAGGGAGAAAAAACAACAACAAACCCUAAAAAUAGACCUUUAAAAUCUUUUACCUCAGAGUAAUUUGAUCCACCACAUUGCCCUACUUCAAUGGGGCGAGCUGCUCCAGUGCUGCCAAUGCCCUGUCAAGAAAUUAUGGGGAUGUGAUGCUGUUGGCACCACGAUGUGAUACUCAGCAGGCAGAAAUUUCAACAUUUUGCCACUUUGUCAAUGUUUUCCAUUCUUAACCUUAACAGAAAUUUUCACCACCUCUGCUUCAUCUUUGUGUAGGAGAUAAUAGCACAGGGAGCCAACCUGCAUAAUUACCAUCAUAUGUGAAUACUCAUUUAUUUUGUUCUCUUAGUUUGUUCUAAAGUACUUAUUAGAGGGGCUCUCUGACUCAAUAAAUAAGUCAUAAAAUCA